rnacentral:lncRNA from 1 species
CUGAGAGGGAGAGGCCUGUGCAAACUGCCAUGCUACUCCUAGUUGAGGAUCCUAGGCCCACCACACCGAGGGAGCGAGCGAGCGAGCGCAGGAACAUGAACAGGGACGAACCUCCGGCCACUGCGUUUGCCCCUGCAGAGGAGCCAGCUUGGGCCGGACACCAUGAUCCCAGAGAGCAGAGGACGGAUGGGACCUUGGAGCUGAACCAUGGGCCCAUGCUAGCAGUGGAGCCUGUCCAGAAACCAGAAAGGGCCGGCACGGGCCGGGAGGCCGACCCCUCAGCCGCCGCCGCAGCACCACAGCAGACUGGGCAGGACUGCUUUGGCCUGACCUUGCUUGCACCCUCGGGCUAGUCGGAGCCGCUCCGCACCGGUCGCAGGCGCCGCCGAGGAGGGCUGCGUGGGCGCCAUUUUCCACCUCAGCACAGGUGCAGUCGGUUCCUCACAGGCCCGCCCGGUUUCUCUAACACGGCUGGCUCCAAAAGCUCACACACACUUUUGAGACGAACAAGA